GAUGAACGCUAGCGGCAGGCUUAAUACAUGCAAGUCGAGGGGCAGCAUGACUGUAGCAAUACAGUUGAUGGCGACCGGCAAACGGGUGCGGAACACGUACAGAACCUUCCUUCGAGCGGGGAAUAGCCCAGAGAAAUUUGGAUUAAUACCCCAUAGCAUAUUGAAGUGGCAUCACUUUAAUAUUAAAGAUUUAUCACUUGAAGAUGGCUGUGCGGCUGAUUAGGUAGUUGGCGGGGUAACGGCCCACCAAGCCUGCGAUCAGUAACUGGUGUGAGAGCACGACCAGUCACACGGGCACUGAGACACGGGCCCGACUCCUACGGGAGGCAGCAGUAAGGAAUAUUGGUCAAUGGACGAAAGUCUGAACCAGCCAUGCCGCGUGGAGGAUGAAGGUCCUCUGGAUUGUAAACUUCUUUUAUAUGGGACGAAAAAAGGCCUUUCUAGGCCGUCUGACGGUACCAUAUGAAUAAGCACCGGCUAACUCCGUG
rnacentral:rRNA from 1 species